AGACAGCAGUUUGUGGGUAUCUGAGCUGGAAACCCUCACGAGACAAAACUCGUCCACUAGGGCCACCUAGGAGUUUAAAGCCUUAUUGCAUACGGUAAAUGCAAUCGCGAUUCCUGCGAAAGUGAGUUAGUUUUUUAUUUUGCUCGAGGACUAGCAAAAUAUAGAUUGGGGGGUGUGAUAAGUGCUAAAUAAUGCAUAAAUUAAUAUCUUAUUCAUAGCACUUAUCAUUAUU
rnacentral:lncRNA from 1 species